rnacentral:rRNA from 1 species
GCAUAUCAAUAAGCGGAGGAAAAGAAACUAACCAGGAUUCCCCCAGUAACGGCGAGUGAAGCGGGAAGAGCUCAAGCUUAAAAUCUCCUUGCAGUCUCUGCUCGGCGAAUUGUAGUCUAUCGAGGCCAAGUCAGCACGCAGGAUCCGGUCAAGUUCCUUGGAAAAGGACAGCAUGGAGGGUUACACUCCCGUCUCUGCCGGCAAAUGCGCGCGUACGACUCGUCUUCUUUGAGUCGCGUUGUUUGGGAAUGCAGCGCAAAGCAGGUGGUAAAUUCCAUCUAAAGCUAAAUACCAGUGCGAGACCGAUAGCGAACAAGUACCGUGAGGGAAAGAUGAAAAGAACUUUGAAAAGAGAGUUAAAGAGUACCUGAAACUGCUGAAAGGGAAGCGAAUCGCGUCCGCUGUCCAUUCCGUGGUCAACCGCUUCGGCGACUGCCACGGAGGAGUCAAAGUCAGUUUGGUGUCGAAGGUAAAGUCGACAGUGCGCGUAGCAUGGCUGACUUUCGGGUCCGGGCCCUACGAGAAACGUUGUGCGUAGCCUCGACGAAGACUGAGGCGAUAACAGCAACCGUGUGUGCUCCGUAAGUUUGUGCGGAGAUCGGGUAGGCAGGUCCUACCUCCUGGCGAGAUGCACCACUAUCAAUGAGACGCAUGCACGCGAGCGGAUGCGCACACACGCUGUUCGGGACUUUGAUCGAAUGGAGCGAUUCGGCCCGUCUUGAAACACGGACC